UACGUAGGGUGCAAGCGUUAAUCGGAAUUACUGGGCGUAAAGCGUGCGCAGGCGGUUGUGCAAGACCGAUGUGAAAUCCCCCGGGCUUAACCUGGGAAUGGCAUUGGUGACUGCACGGCUAGAGUGUGUCAGAGGGGGGGUAGAAUUCCACGUGUAGCAGUGAAAUGCGUAGAGAUGUGGAGGAAUACCGAUGGCGAAGGCAGCCCC
rnacentral:rRNA from 1 species